rnacentral:misc_RNA from 1 species
UGUGAGUGGUGUUUGGGUUUGUGUGUUGGCAGGCUCCGUGCUUAAUGCAUCGAACUGUCGACCCUCGCUCCUCUUCAAUCUUUCCCCCGCGGUCGUCGUGCCCGGGGGGUGCAAACGGGAUCCCGCUCUGCUUACCUAUACGGAUGGAAUUCGGUUGUCGUGUCGUCCCUCGUCCGUCACUCGCCCUUCGGGGCUGCGUGGCGGACUUCAUUCAAGCACCGUGUUCCGAGUGUGCGCACGAGCUGGAUGCGGCCGCUUUGGUGCACCGGUGCCUUGAACGUUCAUACGGAUGCGGAAAAGCUUUGUGGGCGUGAUGGACCCUGUUAAAUCGAUGCGAUUCGUUCUGUCCCUCGAUAUGUACGACGCUCGUGCCCUGUCUUGGGCUCUCCGCUGCCCCCGCGGUGCGUUGAGUCCCAUGCAGUGCCGACGUCGCG